GCCAGUCGUACCGCUACUGUUUAACAUUCUGUUCUGUUGAAAGAUCCUCCGACUAGGCGAAACAAGAGCGAGUUUAUUUUUGUGAAUUGCAGGCUAUGUCCUGGUAGCAGACUUCUUCCUGCAUCCAAUAGAGAGCGUAGGCCUACUCCCCGUCCUGUUUUAACCUUGGACGAAGGGAAUUCUGUACAGAGGUUGGCCCACCUUCACGAAAUCGCGGUGCUAGUUGGUCACGCGAUAGAUGACAUUUUUUAUCGCAAAGGUUUCUUUUUUAGAGUUAAUAUUCGUAUGUGUGUUCUCUACUUUAUUAACU
rnacentral:lncRNA from 1 species